CUCUCAGACACCACAGUCCAGGAGAGUCUGACAAGGUGGCUUUAUUCCUGAAACUCAGGGACCUGAUCCAACGCGCUGGAAAUUGUGUUUCUUUUCCCAGCUCAGGCUAUUCACCUCAGGCCCCUGUUUUCCUGUCUCCUCCCCAGGAAGGUUGUGAUAAAAAUCAAUGACAUCAUGUCUCACUGGGCCCCAGCCACCCUUCAGGAAGCAGGUGCUUUGGCUGAGUGGAGGCUGGGGCAUUUUUCUGCUGCGCUGGCCUGCAUCUGCCUUUCGAGUAGCCCUAGAGGCCUAACGCUUGAGGUCACCUUCAUGGUUUUUCCAGUGACCUUGGCCAUUAAUGAGCUCCCACCGCUUCCCCAGCUGCAGCUGUAUUAUAGCGCCAGAGUCUUCCAAGCCUGCAGGUUGUGCCAAGCCUGGAGGGAUUUGCAAAAGAAACAUUUGCCUACACCAAGAUCAUGAAGAUGUUUUCUUCUAGAGGAUUUCUAGUUUUAGCUCUUUAUGUUUAAAUUGAGGGAAACUAAAUGUAUGGCCUUAAGGAGCUGUUCCAGCCUGAGACUAUACACCAGCAGAAAGAAACUCACAGCACUGAAAAUAUUGUUCUCCGCCCUCCCUCAUCCCUCUUCCUUCUGAAUGGGAAAAAAGAGUAAGAAGCUUUUCCCUCCAGCUGAAAGCAAAGGAGUACUCUAGCCCUCUGUGAUAGCUGAUGGCAGCAUCUUUGGUGGCUCUCCCAGAGAGGCUGCUCUCUUUGCUGGAAUUUGCCUUGUUCUCUCCUCACUGCUGAAGCACUGUCACUGCGUCCUAAAAAAACACCACAGUAUCCGUAAGACGUUGCCUGUCAUUGGAGGUUUGCUCCUUCUCUCUAUCUCAGACAGGAUUCAAUGAAGAAAACAGAAGCCACUCAGCGCAAGAACAGACUCAUACAGGAUCACUGCAUGUGGAAUCAGGUAAGACAAGGUCAUACUGGAGUAGGAAAGGGGUUAAUCCAAUAUGACUGGUGUCCUUAAAAAAUGGGAAAUUCAUCGAGGGCAGAUUGGAUAAAGGAAAUGUUGUACAUAUACACUAUGGAAUACUUCACAGCUAUAAAAAAGGAGAAGAUUAUGUCCUUUGCAGGUACAGGAAUGGAGCUAGAGGUCAUCAUCCUUAGCAAACUAAUGCAGGAACAGAAAACCAAAUGCCACAUGUUCUCACUUAUAAGUUGAAGGUAAAUAAUGAGAACACGUGGACACAUAGAGGGGAAUAGCACACACUGGGGCCUACUUGAGGGUAGAAGGUGGGAGGAAGGAGAGGAUCAGAAAAAACGAUUGGUUACUAGGCUUACUACCUGGUUGAUGAAAUAAUCUGUACAGCAAACCCCAGUAUCAAGAGUUUACCUAUAUAACAAAACUGCACAUGUACCCCUGAACCUAAAAUAAAAGCUUUUUAUAAAAAGAAAAGAAAAAGGGCUGGGCAUGAUGGCUCACACCUGUAAUCCCAGGACUUUAGGACACCCAGGUGGGUGGACUGCUAAGCUCAGGAGUUCAAGACCAGCCUAGGCAACAUUGCGAAACCCCGUCUCUACAAAAAUUAGCCAGGCAUGGUGGCAUGUACCUGAAGUCCCAUCUACUUGCAGGGCUGAGGCCAGAGGAUCGCUUGAACCCAGGAGGUGGAGAUUGUAGUGAGUUGUAUUUGUGCCACUGCACUCCAGCCUCGUUGACAGAGCAAGGGCAAGACCUUUUCUUUAAAAAAAAAAAAAGAAAGAAAGAAAAGAAAAAGAAAAGACAAGAAAAGAAAAGAAAAGGAUAUAAUCAGCCAAAUUCAAAAUGUGUGAAAUGCUACAAGCUUCCAGGACUGUGAAACAAGACAUUUCUUUGGUUCAAGCCACUCCCUUAGUGCACAUUGUUAUGGCAGCCAUGGAAAACCAUCCACAGAGGGUCAGUUCCUAUGGAGGUGGGCCCUGGGCCCAGCUGCUGCAGGUGGCCAGGAAGGAGCCUGGGAGGAUGACGGGGUUCCUGAUCUGAUAGAACUGGGCUGUGACUAGGCAGAACCCUGUUCCACCACACACACCCCAGUGGAGGUCAGUACCCCAAAUCUGACACCAGGAUGUAGCAUGUCCAUGGAGUCUGUCUGCUGACACCUGUCCCACCCUCCCCUGGCCCGUAACUUUGAGAGAUACUGCAAUUCCUACCGAUGUUGCUGCCAUCCUUUAUUCAGCCCAUUAUCAGAAGUUAUGACACAUUGCAAAAUGCUCAGGCUAGUUGAAUUUCUGCAACAGGGCAAGGCGGUUAAAUCCUGUCCUUCCUGGAGUCUCAUUGACCAGGCUUUGAAUCCCAAUUCUACCAUGGAUUAGAUUUGCAACUUUGGCAAAUUGAUGAACUCUUCUGAGCUUUGGACUAAUAAUAGGGUUUUGUGAGGAAUACCUGAGAUAAUGCAUGUACAACACCUUGCAUGUUGUUUAGCACCUACUAGAAAUGCAACCAACUCUAGCUGUUAUCGCUAGUUUUUCUCUUGCUCCAUCUCCAUUCCUGAGAUGUGCAUGGCUACUCUGUGUUUGUUGUUGGGAAGAGCCGUAGACAGUCGUAUCCUCUUCCUGAGAAUGGUAACUGAGCUGCCCCCUUGGGACUGUCCAGGGGCUGGCCAUUAGCCCCACGAGGCAGCAACAAAACCAACAAGACAAGUCUGUUUACUCUUCUGGUCUAUAAUUUAAAAUGUGUUUGAUGCUACUUUUUUUUUUUCUUUUUAGGACGUUCUGUAUCUGUGAUGAAUGACCCCUGCAUACAUUAUAUCUUUCAGUAAAAACAGUGGUGUUUCAGUAGUGUUACUAGCUAAGCUGCUUAACUCUCACAUUACAGACGUCAGUGAAGCCCCUUGGUAGGUAGUGUCUAAAAUUAGAUUUAUCUGCUUAUUUACACAAUUAUACUCUCAUGAGUUUGAAUGUUGGGGAAAGAUCAAGAAAAAGACCAGAUCACUAGAUGGCAAUAGCACACAAGAGCUUUAUUUGGAUGAAGCUUGGACAGAAUGCAUGGAAGGGGAAAGUCCCUUGCAGCAGAAGACCUUCCAGAGGCAGUGGCAGGGCCACCACCAGAAGAAAAGGGCAAGGACACUCCCAGGGGAGAGGAGGAUCAGAGAGGAGGUUACAGGUCUAAGAGAUGUCACAGGUCUAGAAGAAAAGAAAAGGAGCCAGGUGCAGUGGCUCACACCUGUAAUCCCAGCACUUUGGGAGGCCCAGGCGGGCAGAUUGCUGAGUUCAGGAGUUUGAGACCAGCCUAGGCAAACAUGGUGAAACCCCAUCUCUAAAAAAAGAUUUAAAAAUUAACCAGGCCUGGUGGCAUGUACCUGAAGUCUCAUUUACUUGGGGGGCUAAGGCUGGAGGAUCGUUUGAACCCAAGAGGGUUCAUGGUGGGGAGCAUCAUGGUGAGGAGUCUCUGGGUCAGAGAGCUCCAAAGGACAGCAGCCAUUUGGGGUCUUUUGUAGCCCUGAGGUUCGUCUUACCUAUGGUGAGAGGGUGUCGGGUGUAGUUUUGCAAAUUAUCGAAGCAGGCAGGCUCUAAAUGGGCAAAUAAUAUUUGGCCUACAUUUAAAGCAAUUGGAUGUGCAAGAAUUUGAGUUUGGUGCUGGCAGGCUUGAGUUAACGGUCCUGGGCUGUGGUGUGGAAGUAAACAGCAUGGGGGCCAAUACACAGGGGCUGUCUUGAACUCGUUCAUACAAUCCAUUUAUAACCUGUUUAUAACUUGUUUAUAACCCAUUUAUACCACAUACCCCUAAAGCAAAUACCUAGCAGAUAGCAUGCAGGGCCUAUUUGCCUGGCCUCCUUCAAUGGCAUCACAUUCUCCACCACCACGAUGGUUAAUAUGGACGAGCCCUAGCAGCUGCCCAGUGAAGUCCACACGCUACUGCCCAAACCAGCUCAAGUCCUUAGUUGUCAUGAAAAUAAUGUGAGUUCCCACAGCCGUAAAAGGGAAAGCAGCAAGAGCCACAUGAGCAUCCCCGGAACCCUGGGAACAGUCAUCAGUGUCAUCUUCAGGGUCAUGUCCCUACAAGCAGUUCUCAGGCUCCUGCUGAGGGUCAGAACAGAGCCGAAGUCACAGGAUAUCAAAAAUGGAUAAGCCCAACCUCAGCUCGCAGAGGAAUUGCUCAGCUGACAGAUGAUUGUGUUAUCUCAGUGAAGCCAGAUGACAAUGUACUUGGCCAACGGAACAUCUUGGUCAAUGGAUCUCCAAGUUGGUUAUAAAAUUAAAGCAAAAUAAUGCCAUUAUAUGUAAGAUGUCAUUGAUUGUAAGAUGCUCCUUUAUUUGAUGUACCACUAAUAAAUAAAAACACUGACAUUUAAACAAUGACAAUUGCAUAACACAUCUGCUUGUUCAAUGUUAAAUAUGAAAAAAUGUGC
rnacentral:lncRNA from 10 species